GAUGAACGCUAGCUACAGGCUUAACACAUGCAAGUCGAGGGACCGGCGCACGGGUGAGUAACACGUAUCCAACCUGCCCUUUACCCGGGGAUAGCCUUUCGAAAGAAAGAUUAAUACCCGAUGUAAAGGAUGGGGAUGCGUUCCAUUAGGUUGUUGGUGAGGUAACGGCUCACCAAGCCUUCGAUGGAUAGGGGUUCUGAGAGGAAGGUCCCCUGGAUUGGAAAUGAGACACAGACCAAAAUGCUACGGGAGGCAGGAGUGAGGAAUAUUAGGCAAGGGGCGUUAGCCUGAACCAGCCAAGUAGCGGGAAGAAGGAAGGCUUAUGGGUCGUAAACUGCUUUUAUAUAAGAAUAUGUAUUAUAUGAAUAAGGAUCGGCUAACUCCGUGCCAGCAGCCGCGGUAAUUC
rnacentral:rRNA from 1 species